GGGUUGGUAGCUCAGGCGGUAGAGCAACGCCCUUUUAAGGCGUGGGUCCGGGGUUCGAGUCCCCGCCAACCCACCA
rnacentral:tRNA from 2 species